AAUAAAUAAAAUGCAGGCCCGACACGGGAUUUUUAAAAAACUGAGUAAUGGCAGGCAGCAAGACAAUCCCAGAGAGAUGAAGUGAAUGACCCAAGGUUACACAGGAUGGAACCUAUAUCUUCUGAUUUCCCUACUGGCCUGCACUCCACAUUCUGAGGAGGAGUCCUUGAAGCUACUGAGAUAAUGGAACAAUGGAGUAGAUAGUCCAUUAUAACUCAUCUGGGAUUCUUCUCAACUUCAAGUGACCACAGGUGGGAGCAUGGUCUGGUAACAACAACGCUUCUGGAUGGGAUUGUGGAGCUGGACUGCUUAACCUGGGCUAAAUC
rnacentral:lncRNA from 1 species